AGGAGAGCUCGGCGGAAGCCCGUUUCCGCCAGGGACUUAAAAACAACACUCGCUAUGGUAUCUCGCAAUUGCGACUUCCAAACUCAGAACUGCGGCUCAACAAUUCAGAAUUACAACUUUACUUUACACUUUACAUGUCGCAAUUGCGAGAUACCAUAGCGCGUUUUUUUUGUACUCCCUGGCGGAAACGGGCUUCCAUAAAUCUCAGUACUGUAGUCAUCAGGCGGAGUAUCUUUCCCCUCACCCACGCGACCCGGACAGAUCCCAUCAUAACCGGUUUUCAUCUUCAGACAAACCCGAUCAGGUCUCUCUGUGAGCACUUUAAGAAGAGCACGAGAGAAAACAGGACGUAUCCACGGGGGAUACACGCACACGAGAACUGGAGCUACACGGACCUCGGACAAGCGAGAGCUACUGAACCUGCGGCCGGGCUGGGCUGACCUGGGUCUUUUACCUUCGGAGGCUGUUAAACAGACGAUCGCCAUGAAGCACCAAGAAUGACCCUUCAGGGCGGCACGGUGACGCAGUGAAGUCCUGAAGCUGCGUCUGGCUUCUUCUUCUGCCUGUCUGAGUGUGAGACACUUCCAGAAAGAUGAAAAGUUUAGUGAGACUCGUGCUGCUUUCUGCACCGCGGGGUGGAGGGGUGUCCUAACAUGUCCUAACAUUUCAUCUACCUCUCGAAAAUUCCGACCGAGCUUGUUUCUCGUAUUUGCGGCACGCCCAUAAAUUCAUGCUAUUUCUCCGUCUAUAUUUAAUCAAAGUGGCAUCUCUCAAAUGUUUCAAAUCCGCAUACGGCUCACCGGAGACACAAGAACAGUGUCAGGAUUCAGAAACCACGUGUGCUGCGGAAACCGUACGAGUCAC